rnacentral:lncRNA from 1 species
ACUACAAGGUAAUUCCAAAUUGUUUUCCAAGGGAUUGGGACCAAUUUAUACUCCUAUCGACAGCAUAUAAGAGCUCCUGCUGCUCUUCGUCUUCAGUAGUACUUAUAUUUUCAGACUAAAAUUUUUGCCAAUCUGCUCUGAUUGGAAGUAAGUCAGUAUUAGCAGUGUUGUUAAAAUCUCCACCAUGAAGAUCCAUGUGGGUGCUUGGAGUCUUACAAUAGAAAAGAAUGAAUGCAUUCCUUCAUAUUAAAAGACACUAAAAAGUAAUGGCAGAUGAAAUGUGGUCACGUUGAGCAGCUGCUCAGAACCUCAGUAAAGUAUGGGUCUUGAUUACAAAGAGAGAUCUAUGGAUCCCAGUUGAUGGGGAGCAGAAACACAGGAUGUCUUUAGGGGAAUAUGCAGUACAAAGAGGAAUGGGAUCUAGGCUGAGAUCUGGUCUGGUCAGGAGCAGACUGGCUGCCGGUAAAAAUGGAAAAGAAGAAACAUGUGCUCUGUAUGUUCAUCAUCCCUGUUUCCCACCUUCCUCUCCUUUGGAUUUAUGCCAGGUCUCCCAGGGAUAGGUCCCCUAGUGCCCUCUUUACUCUCCUCAAGGCCUGGUGGAUCCUAACCGAUGGAUGUUUAUGGAGAACUGGUGCUGCCACAGCCAGUAGCAGGACCUGUCUACACCUGUUGGUAACCUGAGCGUCCCACUCACCAAUCCCAGCCUUCAGGCUUUUCCACCCACAUGCCACGUCUCUUGAUCCAUUGGAAGUCAUUAGAUCAGAUUUGAACUGCCUGAGGGACAGGCUCUCCUUUUAAAUUCCAUUUAUCAAGAGCCAUUACGUGCCCAGAACUUGACGGGAUGCUUUUCCUGGAUUAUCAUAUUUAAUCCUCACACCAACAUCAGGUUACAGAUGAAGAGACCAAUUUAGAGAUUAAAUAAUUUUCCCAAGGUCACUCAACCAGUAAGCCUAGAAGUGGGAUUUGGACCUGAUUCGUUGUGUGCAAGCAUAUGCUGCAUCACACUGCCCAGGGCCAGGACGGGCAGCAGAAUGCAGCCUCCUCCACAUGUUCGCCGGACUCUCAGCAUCUAGAGAACUUUGCCCGUCAGCCAGGCAUCUCAAAGCCACAGUCACAGCUCUGGACACACAGGCGCUGAGGAGAACUGAUCGAGCAGUAAUGUCUCCAUGGGGACCAGCCAGUCAGCAACAGUGUACACACUCACUGUGUACUGACCAGGACUCAGACAAUAUGUUCUGCCAAUCCCUGGACUCCUAAUUAGCCUUCCACCUCCCAAAGUGAGUCGGUGUCAUGUUAUCAAACACGUCUCUUUCCUUGUCUCCUCUCAUUUAAGGGACUGUAGCUAGCUCCUACAGCUUAUUCUGUACUACCCAUCAGGACUAAUAUAAAGUCAUUCUAAGAAUAAUCCACCCAAACUGGCCUUCAUAUCUGGUGUCUGGAAUAUAGCAGAAAUCUUUU